GCCCCGCGGGAUCGCGGCCGGCCCGGCCCCUGCCCACCCCCAGCCGGCCGGGCGCGCCGCACUGGGCAUGCUCCGUAGCCCGGGCAGGUUGGGGCUGCGAGGCGACGGCUCGGGAUCCGGAGCCGGGAGGCGAGGACGUAGAGGGAGACUCGGGGGCUGAGCCAGGAGAAAGCGGCCGGCCGCUAGGGGCGGCGGGGCCCGGGGCCGGGGCGCGCCGAGCCGGCGGACGGGCGCAGCAGGCCGGCACGGCCCGGCGGCUUGGCCGGGGGCGCCCGCUGAGACCCGGGCCCCUCAUGGAGAUUCAUCAGAUUCACUGAGGAGCGCUAUUCAGGCUUCACUCACCCUGGUCUGGGAAUCCUUCAUCUCUGAGAUUAGAACCAAAAAUACCCUCCUCGGUGGUCACAUCUGAAGGUAGGUCAUUUGGAAAGCAGGGCCCACACCCACAAGCUAAACCCGUUUAAGGUGACACCCAGUAUUUUCCUGGGCAUCCCUCAUUUGGGGGGUUGUGCUUAACUUCUCUACUAGAAGGUAAUCAUGAUGGGGAUGCCUUUUCCUUCUGGUGAAUUCAUUUCAAAACCUAUGUGUUCAAGAGUAGCAAAAUAAUGUAGGAGUAUGUAUUGACAAUCUUGAAGUCCCCUUCUGCUAGUUUUAAAGAACAUUAUAAUUUUUACAUAUGGCAGUUGAUGUGUGAUUUUUCUUAGUCUUCUGUGCAUGAAAACUAAAAGCACAAUUUGUUAAGAUUAUAACUAGUUCUUCAAAGGAGAUUCAUGCCUCUAAGAGGAAAGAAGGGCAUUGCCAGUAGAUUUGGAUCAGUUGGUUUUCACCUAGGGAAUGUACUUUAAUCAUGAGAUCUUCAGAUUUAUCAGAACAGUGUUAAUCUUUAGUGAGGGAAUCUUUCAUCAUUGGCAUUUCUGUCCUUUAGAGAAAAAAAAAAACAGGAUUUUUCUCUGAAAUGCCUUUUUAAUUAUGAAAUGAUGAGGUUGAAUUAUUUCUAUUUCUGUACUAAGAACUGGCUUAAGGAAGGCAUGGAGAUGUGUGGUAGCUUCAGUUUUAAUUUGAUAUGGAUUAUUUCACGUUGACAAUCGUAGGUUUUUAAUAAAUCUGUUGAUGUUCAGAUGGUUGGGGCA
rnacentral:lncRNA from 1 species